rnacentral:rRNA from 1 species
UACGGAGGAUCCGAGCGUUUAUCCGGAUUUAUUGGGUUUAAAGGGUGCGUAGGCGGCCUGUUAAGUCAGGGGUGAAAGACGGUAGCUCAACUAUCGCAGUGCCCUUGAUACUGAUGGGCUUGAAUGUACUAGAGGUAGGCGGAAUGUGACAAGUAGCGGUGAAAUGCAUAGAUAUGUCACAGAACACCAAUUGCGAAGGCAGCUUACUAUGGUAUUAUUGACGCUGAGGCACGAAAGCGUGGGGAUCAAACAGG